AGGAUGAACGUUGGCGGCGUGCCUAAUACAUGCAAGUCGAGCGGUAACACGUUAUGGUGACGAGCGGCGGACGGCUGAGUAACACGUAGGAAUCUACCCCAGACUGAGGGAUAAGCACCGGAAACGGUGUCUAAUACCGCAUACGCUCUAAGGAGUAAAGCUUCGGCGGUUUGGGAAGAGCCUGCGCAUGAUUAGCUUGUUGGUAAGGUAAUGGCUUACCAAGGCGACGAUCAUUAGCUGGUCUGAGAGGAUGAUCAGCCAGACUGGGACUGAGACACGGCCCAGACUCCGUACGGGAGGCAGCAGGUAGGGUAAUUUCCACAAGUGGGACGAAAGCCUGAUGGAGCAACGCCGCGUGCGAGGAUGAAGGUCGUUUACGGGUCGUAAACGUGUACUUUUAAGUAUGACGUAAGAUUAAUGGACGUAG
rnacentral:rRNA from 1 species